rnacentral:rRNA from 1 species
CUGACCGUGCAAAGGUAGCAUAAUCAUUUGCCUUAUAAUUGAAGGCUAGUAUGAAUGGUUUGACAUGAAUGUAGCUGUCUCUUUAUAAUUUAAUAGAAUUUUAUCUUCAGGUGAAGAAGCCUGAAUUUAAUUAAAAGACAAGAAGACCCUAUCGAGCUUGAAAAGAAUUGAUGGAAUCAAAAAUUAAUACAACUAAAAAAUUAUCUAUCACAAAUUUUAGUUGGGGCGACUGAGGAACAUAAAAAGCUUCCUUUAGAAUAUUAGUUUAAGUCAAACUAGAAUUGAUCCAGAAUAUUUUGAUUAAAGGAAUUAGUUACCGUAGGGAUAACAGCAUUAUCUUUUUUAAGAGCUCAUAUCGAAAAAAAGGUUUGUGACCUCGAUGUUGGACCAGAAUAUCCUAAAGGUGUAGCAGCC